rnacentral:rRNA from 1 species
UACAGAGGUCCCAAGCGUUGUUCGGAUUCACUGGGCGUAAAGGGUGCGCAGGUGGUCGGGUAAGUCUGACGUGAAAUCCCGCAGCUUAACUGCGGAAUGGCAUUGGAUACUAUUCGGCUAGAGGGUUGGAGGGGGGACUGGAAUUCCUGGUGUAGCAGUGAAAUGCGUAGAUAUCAGGAGGAACACCGGUGGCGAAGGCGGCUCACUGGCCCGGUACUGACGCUGAGGCGCGAAAGCGUGGGGAGCAAACAGG